rnacentral:snoRNA from 1 species
GCUUUUUAAAAAAUUACGUAUAGACUUGGACAGGUAAGAAUUGGAAGCAAAGAGAUGUGGACUUAGAGAAGUCUGGAGCCGCCUUGCUCCCCACAGUUUCAAGAUCACCCUUUACCAUACAC